AGCUUUGUACAGUGGCAGUAUCAUAGCCAAUGAGGUUUAUCUGAGGCAUGAUUAUUGCUAAUUGAAAACUUUAUUUCUUGCGAAA
ensembl:snRNA U4 U4 spliceosomal RNA